GAAGUGCGAUAAGCAGUGCGAAUUGCAGAAUUCAGUGAAUCAUCGGAACUUUGAACGCAACUUGCGCUCUCGGGGUCCCCCCUGGGAGCAUACUUGUUUCAGUGUCUUUAACAACACUCACAAAACCACUUACUCUCAUGUAAGUGUUCUCUUUGUGGAGAGUGAGCUGUCAUGUAAUAACUACACAUUACAUGUCGCUUGAAGUGCAUGGCCUGGGACCACAUCUAUACUCCCAAUACACAGUGCAGUAGUCACACUUCUCGUGUGAAUCUCACUGUUGUGUGGAGUCGUGGCUUUUCUCGCACGGCUAUAACCUAAUUUCAUUUCAAACUAAGACCUGAAAUCAAGUAAGACUACCCGCUGAACUUAA
rnacentral:misc_RNA from 1 species